AUGAUACUCCCUCCGUCCAGAAAUACUUGUCCAAGAAAUGGAUAAAAUGCAUGUAUCUAGAACAAAAAUACGUUUAGAUACAUCCAUUCUACUAACAAGUAUUUCGGGACAGAGGGAGUAUGAA
rfam:Triticum aestivum genome assembly, contig: Triticum_aestivum_CS42_TGACv1_scaffold_308126_4AS